rnacentral:lncRNA from 1 species
CCAACGUUUUUGGGUGUCAGUAAUGUAUGAUUCCAAAAAUAAUCACGUAUUCGAAAUGAGCACUAGCGCGCUCUCGGUUUGAUUGAAAACGUCUUUCAAAAAAGAUAAACGUAUACAAUUAAGAGGCAAAAAUCUUCAAAGGAAAAAUAAAUCAAUGAGGAGAAAUUCUAGAAGCGUAAAAGAGAAAUCGAAAAAAAAAAACACCCUAACUGUCAAUCAUUUUGUUCGAUAAGAGUAGGCGAUGGAUAUCGACUUGCGGGUAUAUUAAAACAGCAAAUGUAUCGUUCGUUAACGAUUACGAGUGAGUUCGUGUUGAGUUUGAGCGCGAACAAAGUUAGCGUCAAUCAUUAGAUCUUGUCAAGCAUUUGUCAAUCAUUUGACCGAUUUGUGUAUCGGAAGAAAAUAAGACAUGAACCUGCGUUUAUUGAUUAAAACAACAAAUAUAUCGUUCGUUCACGAUUAACGAGUUCGCAUUGAGUUCGAGUGCGAUCAAAGUUAGCGUCAAUCAUUAGAUCUUGUCAAGCAUUUGUCAAUCAUUUGACCGAUUUGUGUAUCGGAAGAAAAUAAGACGAUGAACCUGCGUUUAUUGAUUAAAACAAAAAAUGUAUCGUUCGUUCACUAUUUACGAGUUCGUGUUGAGUUCGAGUGCGAACAAAGUUAGCGUCAAUCAUUAAUUCUCGUCAAGCAUUUGUCAAUCAUUUGACCGAUUAGUGUAUAGGAAGAAAAUAAGACGGUGUAUAUCGACCUGCAGGUAUAUUAAACCAACAAAUGUAUCGUUCGUUGAUUACGAGUUCGUGUUUGAGUUCAAGUGCGAACCAAGUUCAUGUUCGAGCUCAAGUGCCAACAAAGUUAAAAGAGUACAAGUAACGUACAAGAACGAAAUAUGUACACAACUACGAGUGUCUGCAGAAUAAUUGAUAGGGCCAUGUGAAAUUAUGAUUGGGCCAUGCAUGUGUAUGAUUGGGCCAACUGCAGCCCCUGCUAUCUAGGAAGGAUUUUUAUGUCGAAAUCAUGAUGGGGCCAUGUGUAGUAAAUCGUUCUGUUUCUCUUCCAAUUUGCACCAUCUGUACAUUUUUUGUUUAAUCAUGUCUACUGCUUGACAUUUAAAGACAAUGAUUGUGAGCUGUAGUAGGGUCAAUGUUUGUACGGAAUAUUUUUUCCGUUUGUAACAAUUCGUGUUAGAUAUUUAGGGCCAUGUGUACGAAUCAAACUUUUUGAAAUUCUAGUCGCGUCUAUCAUACAUUUUCUCGUCGUUCCAUAUUGAUUGUCAUUGUGAAAAAAAUCCUAGGGCCAUGUGUACAAAACUGUCAUUGCCGUUUUGAAGAUAUUUCUGCCAAACCCAAUUUUUCUUGCGUUAUCUUCUGUACUUAUAUGUGACAGAUUAUUUACAGGAUUCCAGGGCCAUGUGAACAUGUCUUACUUUGUUUUUGUAAAAAGAUCUUUCCAAUUUAUUAUGCGAAAUUAUUUAGGGCCAUGUGAAGUAGUGUAGAGAUCUUCUAUUCCUCCGUUCUGUAGAAAUUUCUGCAAUUUUCUUAAAACCUGCUUGUGCAUUCAUCCCGUCUUGAGUGCGAAUCGUCGUGUAAUAUACUCUAGGGUCAUAUGUGUUAAAUAUCCAUAGCCAUUUUGAAGCUUAAAAAAAGCUCAAAUGUUGGAUCUAAGUUUUCUUGUAUACUCUGUAUAUUCCUCAACUGUUGUAACUUCACCGUAGUUAAUGGAGUGAAUACUCUAUAGGGCCAUGUUUAAGAAUUUACUAUUUGUCCAUGUGACAAAAAUUUUCUUGGAGAUCUAUUGUUAAAAAAAACUCUACAUGUAUACUAUAGGGCCAUGUGCAGAUCUUACAGAUACAUCGAAACAUAUGUAGCGGUCGUGAAACGUAAUCAGAAUGAUGGUUUCAACGACUCCACGAUUAUUUUGUGACAUGAAAUAGUCUCUGAUCCUUGUCGAAAUGUGUCUUAUGGACAUGAAGUAUUGUUUGUGAUUUGUUCUUCCAUAAUAUCCGAUUGGCAAAGAUCGAUAAUUGCCUUUUGUGUUAGGGCCAUUGUGUCAAUUUUGUUUAUUGUAAAUCAGGUGUAAUACAGGUGUAAUGACACCUGUAGCGUCGGAUACACCUUGUAAUCGCUCUGUAAAGUGUAUAGCCUGAAUUUACAGGAUGAAACAAUGUGCAUGAAUUAAUUUAACAACCACAACACCAGUGGAGGAUUUGAUUGAUGGUACAUUUGAAUUCUGAUAAGUCCGAUCACAGCUGGUCGGCAAUGUGAAUGUUGUUUCCCUUUGAACCGCAUUGCGCGUCAGUGGAUGCGCGUUGCUUUGCGCAAACUGGAAUAUCAUCCUCGUGAGCAGUAGGCCAAAUUAUCUAUUUGACUAAGUUUUCUUUCUCAACGGUUGAAUCAAUUACAGUGGUCAGGUAAGGGCCACUAAUUGGAUUAUUUUCACUGUCUGUAUGUAAGAUACUUUGCAUCCAAGUAGGCUUAGAGAUCUAAGUAGCGUAGACCUAAAUUAAGUUUCCCUUUUUUCCUCUAUGGUUGUAUCUUUAUAGUGGUCAGGUAAGGACUACUAUUACGUUUCCUUCUCUUUAUACCACAGCACUGGUCACAAAUUUGAUCAGGAAUCCACUGUACAUUGUAUUUACAAAACCUAGCUCCGCUAGGAAGACUUCUUUUAUUUUCAGCAACUUGCAAUUAGAUUAGGAGGACCGGCAAGCCAGAGUGCUCAUGCCAGGAGCUGCUGAUACGGAGGAACCGGAAGCAGGGAGGAGGAACACCGGAUGACUGAAGACCCUGCUUGCCGGGCAUCCCAUUACUGAUUUCCCAGAGAUGAUCGACGGUCUGCAAGAUGAGAUGUCAUUCCGGACGAAGAUACGACUUCUGAAUCCCAAGGAACCGGAAGCACGGAGGAGGACCGACGGAAGGACUGAUGAGUUGCAGAGCAAGUCUUCACCAAUUCUUGAUAUUCCUCUUGUUUCAUGUAAGCAGCAGAGACGAUAACGGAGUGCAGUUGUUCACAAAGGCAAGGACACGAAUUUUAGCAUCACUCGACUGAGUUUUACAGUAGCUCCUGAAAAGUUCCCAAGUCCGUUUCUAAAUGGACGCCCCGCGCACAAAAAGAUAAUUCAGAUGGGUAUUCAAUGGGGUAGGAAAACAUGGCAUCAAGUGGAUUUGGGUUUGAUAGUGUUUCAUUAGGAAUCCCUGAAAUUUGUUUCAAAGAAUGUAAUCGAAAUAAUUGUAUAUCAUGAGAGAUGAUAAUUUAUUUCAGUGCCGUUCGAAACUGCUAUACCACUGGCAGGCCUCCACGUACAUGUACAUGUACAUGUAAUAAACGCGUGUGGGGGAUAUAUCCAUUGAUCUACACGUACACACACUCUCAGUGUAGUACUAGUGGAGUAAUGUAUGGAGAUCAAUGGAGUAAUCGCGCGAUGGGAACUAGACUAUUCGAUUGUUGGGCAAACCGGUUUACAUUGCUACCUGACUAUACUAUUGUGUUUCUUCUGCAAAAAUAUUGCACUGCGUACCUGCGUUUGCGGAGCACAACAUUCUUCAGCAGUCCCCGCAGCAUUGUUUAGAUUGUGGC